rnacentral:misc_RNA from 1 species
CUAAGGAAACCAAUAAAAUCAAUCAUCUUCAGUUUUGAAAGACUUAGGAUAACUAAGUUUUUCUUCGUGACUUCACGAAGGGCCUAUAGCUCAGUUGGUUAG